rnacentral:rRNA from 1 species
UUAGGUGACUAUGGCGGCAGGGUCCACCUCUUCCCAUUCCGAACAGAGAAGUUAAGACUGCCAGCGCCGAUGAUACUGCAUUUAGUUGUGGGAAAGUAGGUCGUCGCCUCCU